rnacentral:rRNA from 1 species
GGUCUGAGCGGAUGAUCAGUCACACUGGAACUGAGACACGGUCCAGACUCCUACGGGAGGCAGUAGUGGGGAAUAUUGGACAAUGGGCGCAAGCCUGAUCCAGCCAUGCCGCGUGUGUGAAGAAGGUCUUCGGAUUGUAAAGCACUUUAAGUUGGGAGGAAGGGCAGCAAGUUAAUACCUUGCUGUUUGACGUUACCAACAGAAUAAGCACCGGCUAACUUCCUGCCAGCAGCCGCGGUAAUACGAAGGGUGCAAGCGUUAAUCGGAAUUACUGGGCGUAAAGCGCGCGUAAGUGGUUCAGCAAUCUUGAUGUGAAAUCCCCGGGCUCAACCUGGGAACUGCAUCCAAAAGCUA